CGGGCUGUGUGGGCCGCUGGGCUGAUUCCGCGUGUAACGGGCUCAGGCCCAGUAAGGGCUGGGCGGAGGCAUUUCUUCUGCCUACCUUCCCGAGGGCGACACUCGGUUGGGCCACCUGAACCCCCAGAGUCCCCGCAGGUUGCUAGGCAACCCCGGAAGCCCCCAGGGACGUAGUAGGGCUAGGACCUAAGGUGGCGAAAGCGGAUGCAGCGGGUGUCAAAACUGGCUUUCAGCUCCAACUCCACCUCCACCUCCACAUUUACAGGUUCCUGGGUUCCUCUGACUGCAAGUUGGGAAGAAAAAUAAUAGCGUAAAGGAAAAAAAUGUUGCGUGCCAUUCCAAUUCUACAAGGAUCAAGCCAUUAGCCACUGCAAUUGACCACCAACAGUGUGCCCCGAGGGGAAUUCAGGAUGGAGGAAAACAGGAAACUUUCUGUACUUCGGAUAUACUGAUCCUUAGAUAGAAAGAAACAUUUGAGGUAUACACAAGAAACUAAUGAAAGAGAACAGAGGUCCUUAUAAACUUGCUCCAUAUCUGCUCAAAAUGCUUCAAGAAAUGCUCAUGGGCUUCCCUGGUGAUGCAGUGGUUAAGAAUCUGCCUGCCAAUGCAGGGGACACAGGUUCGAGCCCUGGUCCAGGAAGA